UGUUUCGGCAAGGGGGUCAUCCCGACUUACCAACCCGAUGCAAACUGCGAAUACCGGAGAAUGUUAUCACGGGAGACACACGGCGGGUGCUAACGUCCGUCGUGAAGAGGGAAACAACCCAGACCGCCAGCUAAGGUCCCAAAGUCAUGGUUAAGUGGGAAACGAUGUGGGAAGGCCCAGACAGCCAGGAUGUUGGCUUAGAAGCAGCCAUCAUUUAAAGAAAGCGUAAUAGCUCACUGGUCGAGUCGGCCUGCG
rnacentral:rRNA from 1 species